rnacentral:tRNA from 1 species
GGGAGUGUAGCUCAGUGGUAGAGCUCUCACCUCACACAUGGGAGGCAAUGGGUUUGAUCCUCAGCACCACA